rnacentral:lncRNA from 1 species
CUCACAUGUUCUGGGGUCACCGGGAAGGUGAAGUCUGAUGGGACACUGGAGCAUGACUGUGACCCGAGGAGGGAAGUGCAACGUGUGUGUCUCUGUCCCUUGCUGCUCCUUGACACAGUGUUCAAGAUGCUCUAUGAACCCACGAUGCGUCAGUGAUCGGUAAGACUCAAAGUGAGCACAAGUGGUGCAGAUGCUGGAAGUCCUUUGAAGAAGUGAUCCACAAUGGAAUGAGUGUCUGGGACUUAGGCAGUAAGGUCCUUGGUUCUGGAAGAUUUCAAACAGCAAUUAGAAGAUGUCUAUAAGAGAUGCGGUAGAAGAUUCCUGACAUGCGUACAGUGAUCCUCAAGACUCCCUUUAAAGCUAAUAAUUCCAUAACUUUUAGUGGGGGAGUGACAGGUCCACAUUCCCUUCUCUGAUACCACUGGGACCAGAUUAUUCCAGAAUUCAGGACUUUCAUAUCUUAUAAUGUAUGCAUAUAACUUGCAUUAUGUAACACCCCUAGGGGAGUUUGGAAAGCACCCCAAAGCCCAACACACUAGUAUCUCUGGAGAAAACCAUAAGCAGGUGACAAACACAAACCAUGAAAAGCCUCAUGUUAGGUUUAGCUGGGAAACAAACUCAGGGAGGUCAGAUUGUCCCACCAAAUAUGGGAAGUCUUUUGGAAUUUGAAGCUUUUGGACUUUCAGAUAAGGGAUUAUGGAUCUGUUUGUGAACUCUUAAGUCAUUUCACAGAUUGGAAAAAAACAAAACAAAAAUCCCAAACAAUGUAUACAUGGAGGCACCUGAGAUGUCUUUAAAUUUCAUGAUGGGAAGAAAGAAACCAACACUUGUACACUGGUUUAGACCUGAUGAAAGUGCUUGGGGCUCCACUGUCUAUUAGACACUCACCGUGACCUUAUGAACGAAGACGCAUCAUCUCCAUCCUUUGGGGACAGGGAAACUGAAGCUUCCACAGAGCCGGCAUCACAUAGUACAUGCUAGUGCCUGUGUGAGAACACACAGAUUUGGGACUCCAAAUAUCAGGCUUUUUCUAUAACCUCAAAAACCUCCUAAAUGGUGCCCAGUGAAUGUAUUUCAGGCAGUGCUGCCAUUCAGAGGGAUGCCCCCAUCUAGCUGUACUGAAUGUUGGAGUUCUUCCUUUUAGGUGAUAUAUCACCAAGGCCCUAAGUCUGUGGAGGCCUCUAGCCUUAUCCUGCUGCCCCAGAGUGCCCCAGACUCUCCCAAAGUGUAGUAACUGUGCAAAGGGCAGACGCCUGGCAGAACAGGGACCCCAGGGGCUGGAGACUGUACCCUAUUGUAGCUACAUAUUUGGAACAUCACACCUACUAGAAUUGUGCUAAGAUACUGACCAGUCCUUGAGUAUGUUGCCUUCCACCAAGAAGAGAGCACUCCCCUCCCCCAGAGAUGUUCUAUGUGUGUUUAGCUGGGAAGCUCUGCACAGCUGCACGCUGGUAUAUCCAUGCUUGCCUGAGAAUCACAGCUGCCUGGAGCUCUUGGGAAACACAGACUCCUGGGCCCCAUCCUGACCUAUUACAGAAUCAGAAUCUCCUGACACAGGCGCAGGUGUUUUGUGCACAAACGUUCCAGCUGAGUGCCGCCUAGAGUUGGGCAAGUUUGGAGAUCACCGUGGCACUCCAUUUACUUUGGUUCUAGGAGACGCAUUGCACAUGUCUGUCUUGGAACUCUGCCCAGUUGCCAUGCGAGAAAUCUGGCCUGGCUUGCUGGAGGAUGAGAGACACGUGGAACUGAAAGGAACCAUUCCAAGGAAGGCCAUUCUAAAUCAGCCAGCCUCCAGUCAACCCAGCACUGGGUACAAAGGCAAAGGUGAACCCAGGUAAGGCUAGAAGUAUCUCCUAGCUGAGCCCAAUACAAACUGUCUACCUGCCAAAUGGUAAGCUAUAUAAGUGGUUGUUUAUUUAAAGUCACUAGUUUUGGAGUAGCUUAUUAUGCAGGAAAUGCUAAUAUAAUGUGCUUGUCUUUCAGUGCUGUUGUGUAAACAAAAUUAGGUAUCACACAUGAAACACCUGAAUCCAUACAUACCGAUGAACAGAACUUGUUUGGAUGGAUUGCUAACCCAGCUGCAUAUCCAUAAAUUGCAUACUUCCUGUGUGGAAGAUGUAAGCAUCAGUGUCCAUAGCGUAUAUUGAAAAAUAAAUGCAUUUCCCUAUGAAGAUAUAAUGACACCGUAGAUAGAAUGUUUAAAAGGAACCCAUAAAAUUUGCCUGUUAUCCUACUGCCUCUACCAUAAGGUUCAAAUAUCUUAGUAGGACUGACAAAAUCCUUCAAAGUCAUAUUCCAGCCUCAUCUGUCUUUUUAAACUGUUUCUACUCCUUGUUACCUCCAUUCAUAAUAAAUGACAUCUGAGACAUUCAUUAUGUAAAAUUUCCUUUUAGUUUUGGUCCUUCCUAUGGUUUGGCUGUAUCCCCACCUAAAAAAUCUCAUCUAGAAUUGUAUCUCUCAUAAUCCCCAUGUGUUGUGGGAGGGACCAGGUGGAAAGUAAUUAAAUCACAGGGGCAUGUUUUUCCCAUGCUGUUCUUGUGUUAAUGAGAAAGUCUCACGACAUCUGAUGGUUUUAUAAAGGGCAGUUUCUCUGCACAUGCUCUCUUGUCUGCCACCAUGUAAGACGUGCCUUUGUUUCUCCUUCCCCUUCGGCCAUGAUUGUG